rnacentral:lncRNA from 1 species
ACAAGUUCCGGGACAUGUACUGCCAGUCCUGAGAUUUCCCGUGGGUUGGUCCAAUGUGAGCUGUCAAAAAAGGUAGAAAAUAUGAAGCCAAUGAAAUAGAAAAUAUAAAUAUUAUAUUAGACUCUUUCACCAUUCAAAAAUAUUCCUACAAGGGCCAUUUCAACUAAAAUGCUUCUAUAAUACAUUCAGAACACGUGUUGGCUCACCAUCUAGAUUGCUGAAAGAUAUUGGCAAACUAUUUUUCAAAGAGGUAUCUUGGGUCUUGUGUUGUUUACCAGAAGACAACUUGUAUAAGGCCCAAAAUACCCACAUUUCAAUACUUCAGUAUCUUGGAAAAGUGCUAAGUACCUAUCUUCACUACUAACUGGGAAAUUUCAGUUCUUUUGAAGUCAACAAACAUACAAUGAGGAUUUACUGAAUGAUAGAAAAACAUGGAGGGCUUUGAACAGUAUGACCCUAAAGCAUUUAAACUUCACUCUGAAUGUUGGAUAAGCCAUUGAAGGCGGGAUGGAUGCUGGUAGAUUUCCCCCUUUAGGAAGAUUGCCUGCAGGGAAUAGAUGCGUAGGAAGAAAGGAAGGGUGCCACGGAGUCUAGAAGUCCAGCCAAUAGACUGUUCCAGCAUUUGGAGCUGGAGAGAAUGAGACAGACUUGGCAAUGCAGGAGGUCAAUAUGGAGGAGGCUGCAAAUGUGGAUAUGGUGAACACAUAGUUUACUUUCCCUGGCUAGAUGGUUCACAUCAAAAUAGAACACUUUAAUAAGGACCCCUGAACCAUCUAUUAGCCCAAACUGAAAGUGCCCUAGACAACAUGUAUCAGAGGGGAAUGGAAUGUAAGGGUGAAACGUCUGACGGUAGAUACUCGGUAGUAGAUGAUCCCAAUCAAAGAUGAUGUCCAGAGGACUUGAGGUUAUCUUAGAUUUGGGAUCUAAAACAUGGAGACAAUGUAACUAUUUUUAAAACCGAGGUGGGGGAAGUAUGAGUUACAUCUGACCCCCUGACACACUAACCUACCUAGAGCAUGAGUAUAUAACAAGUGUUAUUUUCACUUAUUCUCUUUGUUUUUCAUUGUUUCUUUUCCAAUCAGCAAAUUGCAUUUUAAAUAGACCUGGGUAGGCAGGAACUAAUGAUAUAAUUUAGAAGUGUAAAUAUUCUCAUUACCCCCCUACCGUCCGCAGCAUUUGUCUUUGGAGCUUUCCGGAGCAGUUGGCAAGCCCUUCCCUUUAGCACCAUGGUAGGGUUCCUUUAAAUCCGUUUCCAGAAAAUCUAUUGUCUGGGGAAUCACAUAGGGAGAUGAGAAGUUUUAAAAACCUGGUCUUCUAAAACUCCAGGCGUAGUCUGAUUUCCAAUAUAAAAACAAAAGUUGCCAUUCUGUGGGGUGUUUAAAGUAAUACGAGGCUGGUAUAAGAGGCUCAGUGUGUUGGGCUGGACAGCAGUAUUGUUAUGGCUCCCUCCUGUGCAGGCACUUUGGAUGUUUGCUUUGUGUUGAGACGAUUGUCUCUGGGAUUGUAAAUUACUUAGGCAGCCUCAUCACAGUCAAUUAAAUUCAACAUCCAAUUUUCAUCAAGGUUUUCCUUUUAUCUAAUUCUACUGUGCAGCGGAUUGAGGCUUGUGGAGGUCAAGUACCUUGGCUAAGGUCAUCUGGCAUGUUAAUGUCUUAGCUUAGGUAAGUUUAGACCCUGUUGAUUCCAUGAUUCAUUCACCUGUCUGCUAAUUAGCACCUCUCCAUCCUUGUUGCUUAGCUUGUGAACUGCCUGUUUUAAGAGUUCUCAACACCCAGUGGGAUUUAUGGGAAAUCUGUAAGCUCAUGAAUUAUCUUUUAUCUGGAAAAUAAGAAAAUAGAAAUCAAUUAUGAUAAUAUCUGGUGUGCAGGAAGGGGGUCUCUAGGGAUUUGAUAACCCCUGCCAGCAAAAUCAACACUGGGCUACUUGGGUCCUUGACUAUAGUUGAAUGAUAAUCCAUAUACUAUGUGGUAUUCAAGGCUGGCAUGGUGGAAGGUGGGAAGGCCUGCAAGUGAAUUACUUCAUUCCAGGGGCAUGAAGUUUUCCAGGGCACAAAUAUUCUGCAUUCAUUUCCUAGAGCCUGCUGGAAGUGUGGCGUAGCUGUUCUGUUGAUGUCGGGGGAGGGAAUUGUCUACAAAGACACAAAUAUGAAGCUUACAGGAAUCCAGCUGAGACAUGAUUCCAGAAGGGUUAGACAACUGGAUCCUGUAGUUAAUUAACCCUCUUCGACUUCAUCCUUCUAGAAUUUGCUAAGACGCAAAACACACAGAGAGUUUCUUGGUUGUAAUUUAAUCGACGAAACUAAGUUACAUACCAUGAACGUAAUGGUGGGUACACUGUAAUUAUAUAACUUUUGAGGAAUGAAAUCAUCUAAAAGCUUGGGCGCAAGCUAUGUUUUUAUUUUUUGCCCACCCCUGGGAAACUGUUUCCUGUCUUGGUUUUCCCUUUGGUGAAUAACACUUUGCUUUUUUAUUUCUAAGGCACUCUUUCUUCUCCUCUGUCAUCACUGCUCACCCAUCACCCUGGCUGGGAAGAUGCUGGCAGUGUUAAUGCAGUGAGCCAGUUAAUCACCUAGCUCAGCAGAGAUGCAGGGCUGCUUCGUGGGCUGGCCCUAAAGACAUGAUUUAAAACAAUGCCUUAAAAAGAUUAUCAAACAAAGGGGAGCAUUUAGUGAGCUGUUAAGCGGACGAGAAAUCCCCAGGAAGGAGAAAGGGACAGCCUUUAUCUUGCCAGAAGGGCAAAUGGUAAAGGUGAAGUGUCAACUGAGACACAUUUAUGUCAGUUUGAGUGACUAAAGGCCAAUUUGGCACCCCGUGUGUUUGGAUCAUAAGCUGUAAAAUGCAUGACCUUGUUUCCUGCUGCUGAUUUAUGGCUCUGUACACUUUGGGCUUUUUCUUUUCAUUCCUGGAAGAAGAAAAAGAAAAAAACCUCAAUCCUCAGAAGAAAAAUAGCAAACUUGAAGCAGUUGCUGAAGUUUGUAGGCACAUCGUUCCUUGAGGGCAACGCUGGCAUAGCUGAGGGAACAGAAGCAACGGAGACCAUACCUCGUCAGAAAUACCACUGAGUGUGAAAUAGAAUGAGAUUCUUCUCCAGGUCAAGUGGGCAGAGCUGUCUGAGGUGCAGUCGCUCCACUUAGAGGGGAUUCUGGUCUCAUCAGGAUCAAAGGAGGCCCAGAUGUGCAGCGAGGGCACAGCCGGUUCUGAAGGAGCAUGCAGGUUCUAGGAGGUCGCUAUUUAUCGAUUUGAUCUUAUUCCUGUAAAUGCCUCAAAAGCUCAAGUGCUCCUGCCGGCUCUUUGAGCUUCGUUUCUACUGUGUGACAUUACACUACAAGAGCGGUUCCUGAUCUUGUUAUUUUCCUCGAGAUUUUGGAGGGUUGG